rnacentral:lncRNA from 1 species
GGGGUGCCAGGAGUUGGGGAGGUCAGGUCCGAACUCGGAACAGGUGGAGUUCAAUUAAUCGUGUCCAAAGUUCUACACCUUCGCGAAAUCCCGUUAGGAAAAGAUCAGUCAUCCAGUGUCUUUGCUUGCCUGGUUGUAGACCCUCUCUAAGGUGAAUAAAUUUCAUUGAUAUAAAGAUUUAGAAACAAACAUUAGGCUCUAGUAC